rnacentral:rRNA from 1 species
AGUGAAAUAGUACCUGAAACCGUUUGCUUACAAACCGUUGGAGCCUCCUUAGUAGGGGUGACAGCGUGCCUUUUGAAGAAUGAGCCUGCGAGUUAGUGAUACGUGGCGAGGUUAACCCGUGUGGGGUAGUCGUAGCGAAAGCGAGUCUGAAUAGGGCGAUUGAGUCGCGUGUCCUAGACCCGAAGCGGAGUGAUCUACCCAUGGCCAGGUUGAAGCGCGUGUAAGAGCGCGUGGAGGACCGAACCCACUUCAGUUGAAAAUGGAGGGGAUGAGCUGUGGGUAGGGGUGAAAGGC